GUAAUGGACCUUUGCCUGGUCCCUGGGUGCAGGAGGAUUUUCUGUCCCACUCCCAAAGGCUUGAUGCUUUUGUUCCCUGAGACGGGCCUUUUUAUUCCCUGAAACACAACAAUAUUGAAAUUAAGCCAAUUAAUGACCUUACAAUGGCUUCUAAGUGUUCAAAUGAAAGGAAGAGUCCCACAAGAAUUAUGGGCCCUCAAGAAUUAUGUUAAAUCUACUCUGCCUGUGCUCUACAAUGGAACAACAAAGUCUGAAUGACAGCACAUCUGUUUACAGCAUGGUUAACUAAAUAUUUUAAACCCACUCUUGAGACCUACUUCUCAGAAAAAAAAAGGUUUUCUUUCAAGAUAUACUGCUCGCAUACCUCCUCACCUUAAAUCAAAAGCUAGAAAUGAUUAAACAUAGUAAGGAAGGCAUUUUGAAAGCUGAGAUAAGUCAAAAAACCAGGCCUCAUGCACCAGUUAGCCGAAUUGUGAAUGCUAAGGACAAUUCUUGAAGGAAAUUAGAAGUGCUACUCCAAUGAACACACAAAUGAUAGGAAAGUAAGACAGCCUUAUUGCUGAUGGAAAAAGUUUUAGUGGUCUGGAUAGAAGAUUAAACCAGCCACAUCAUUCCUUUAAGCCAAAGCCUAAUCCAGAGCAAGGCCUAACUCUGCUUCAUUCUAUGAAGGCUGAGAGAGGUGAAGGAGCUGCAGAAUAAAAGUUUAAAGCUAGCAGAUGUUGAUUCAUAAGGAAAGGAAAGAAGCUGUCUCUAUAACAGAAAAUUACAAAGUGAAGCAGGAAGUACUAAUAGAGAAGCUGCGGCAAGUUAUCCAGAAGAUCUAGCUAAGAUCAUUCAUGAAGGUGGUUCCACUAAACAACAGAUUUUCAAUGUAGAUGAAACAACCUUCUAUUGAAAAAAUAUUCCAUACAAGACUUUCAUAGCUAGAGAGGAGAAGUCAAUACCUGGCUUCAAAGCUUCAAAGGACAAGCUGACUGUCUUGUUGGAGGCAAAUGCAGCUGGUGACUUUAAGUGGAAGUCAACGCUCAUUUACUGUUCCAAAAAUCCUAGGGCCCUCAAGAAUUACGCUAAAUCUACUCUGCCUGUGCUCCAUCAAUGGAACAACAAAGCCUGGGUGACAGCACAUCUGUUUACAGCAUGGUUUACUAAACAUUUUAAGCCCACUCUUGGGACCUACUGCUCAGAAAAAAAAGAUUUCCUUUCAAGAUACACUGCUCACUGGCAAUGCACCUGGUCACCCAAGAGAUCCAGUGGAGAUCUACAAGGAGAUUCAUGUUGUUUUCAUGCCUGCUAACACGACAUCCA
rnacentral:lncRNA from 1 species